CGUAUUUGUGAAGCACUUACUUUGGUUAAUCAUUUGUAAGUUGUCUUCCAAAAAAUCUUCUGAAAUUUUGUCUUUUGUGAUUUUCAGUGGAAGACAUGAGUGAGAACGAAUAUGGAUACUCAUAUCCUGCUCAAGGUCCUUGUCAAGGGCCACCUCCAGUGGCUGCACCUCCAUAGUACUAUGCUGCUCCAUCAUCCAAAAGAGAAAUGGGGUGUCGGAAAGAAAUAGUGUUUACAUACAUUGGAAGCCUAGUAGCUUUAUGUUGCUACUGCAUACUGAACGAAUGCUGCUGCUGCUGCUGAGACCAACUAUUAUUCUGGCUAGUUAAUUAGUAUUAUGGUAAUGAGGAAGACUAUUAUUGCAAAUAUUGUAUUUAAUUGAGGUUGUUAUCUGUAUUAGAAUAUAAAUUAUAUAUGUAUGAGUAUUGAGUACUAGUGGACUGUUCUUUGAUUAUCGUUUGUUACAAAAUACUAACACUUGAAGCUACAUUAUUAGCAAGGAUAUUUGAGAAGAGAAUUAAAUUU